GGGUGUGCGGCUGAUGACGUUGAUGCUGCUGAGACCUCGUGAUGGCUCAGCCUCAAAGUAAACGCGCUGACGCACUGUGG
ensembl:snoRNA Gm23008 predicted gene, 23008